rnacentral:rRNA from 1 species
GGGUUGUGAGGUUAAGCGACUAAGCGUACACGGUGGAUGCCCUGGCAGUCAGAGGCGAUGAAGGACGUGCUAAUCUGCGAUAAGCGUCGGUAAGGUGAUAUGAACCGUUAUAACCGGCGAUUUCCGAAUGGGGAAACCCAGUGUGAUCCGUCACACUAUCAUUACGUGAAUACAUAGCGUAAUGAAGCGAACCGGGGGAACUGAAACAUCUAAGUACCCCGAGGAAAAGAAAUCAACCGAGAUUCCCCCAGUAGCGGCGAGCGAACGGGGAACAGCCCAGAGUCUGAAUCAGCUUGUGUGUUAGUGGAACGGUCUGGAAAGUCCGACGGUACAGGGUGAUAGUCCCGUACACCAAAAUGCACAGGUUGUGAACUCGAAGAGUAGGGCGGGACACGUGGUAUCCUGUCUGAAUAUGGGGGGACCAUCCUCCAAGGCUAAAUACUCCUGACUGACCGAUAGUGAACCAGUACCGUGAGGGAAAGGCGAAAAGAACCCCGGCGAGGGGAGUGAAAAAGAACCUGAAACCGUGUACGUACAAGCAGUGGGAGCCUCUUUAUGGGGUGACUGCGUACCUUUUGUAUAAUGGGUCAGCGACUUAUAUUCUGUAGCAAGGUUAACCGUAUAGGGGAGCCGAAGGGAAACCGAGUCUUAACUGGGCGUUAAGUUGCAGGGUAUAGACCCGAAACCCGGUGAUCUAGCCAUGGGCAGGUUGAAGGUUGGGUAACACUAACUGGAGGACCGAACCGACUAAUGUUGAAAAAUUAGCGGAUGACUUGUGGCUGGGGGUGAAAGGCCAAUCAAACCGGGAGAUAGCUGGUUCUCCCCGAAAGCUAUUUAGGUAGCGCCUCGUGAAUUCAUCUUCGGGGGUAGAGCACUGUUUCGGCUAGGGGGUCAUCCCGACUUACCAACCCGAUGCAAACUGCGAAUACCGAAGAAUGUUAUCACGGGAGACACACGGCGGGUGCUAACGUCCGUCGUGAAGAGGGAAACAACCCAGACCGCCAGCUAAGGUCCCAAAGUCAUGGUUAAGUGGGAAACGAUGUGGGAAGGCACAGACAGCCAGGAUGUUGGCUUAGAAGCAGCCAUCAUUUAAAGAAAGCGUAAUAGCUCACUGGUCGAGUCGGCCUGCGCGGAAGAUGUAACGGGGCUAAACCAUGCACCGAAGCUGCGGCAGCGACACUAUGUGUUGUUGGGUAGGGGAGCGUUCUGUAAGCCGUUGAAGGUGGCCUGUGAGGGUUGCUGGAGGUAUCAGAAGUGCGAAUGCUGACAUAAGUAACGAUAAUGCGGGUGAAAAACCCGCACGCCGGAAGACCAAGGGUUCCUGUCCAACGUUAAUCGGGGCAGGGUGAGUCGACCCCUAAGGCGAGGCCGAAAGGCGUAGUCGAUGGGAAACAGGUUAAUAUUCCUGUACUUGGUGUUACUGCGAAGGGGGACGGAGAAGGCUAUGUUAGCCGGGCGACGGUUGUCCCGGUUUAAGCAUGUAGGCGGAGGUUCCAGGUAAAUCCGGUACCUUUUUAACGCUGAGGUGUGAUGACGAGGCACUACGGUGCUGAAGUAACAAAUGCCCUGCUUCCAGGAAAAGCCUCUAAGCAUCAGGUAACACGAAAUCGUACCCCAAACCGACACAGGUGGUCAGGUAGAGAAUACCAAGGCGCUUGAGAGAACUCGGGUGAAGGAACUAGGCAAAAUGGUGCCGUAACUUCGGGAGAAGGCACGCUGAUAUGUAGGUGAAGUGAUUUACUCAUGGAGCUGAAAUCAGUCGAAGAUACCAGCUGGCUGCAACUGUUUAUUAAAAACACAGCACUGUGCAAACACGAAAGUGGACGUAUACGGUGUGACGCCUGCCCGGUGCCGGAAGGUUAAUUGAUGGGGUUAUCCGUAAGGAGAAGCUCUUGAUCGAAGCCCCGGUAAACGGCGGCCGUAACUAUAACGGUCCUAAGGUAGCGAAAUUCCUUGUCGGGUAAGUUCCGACCUGCACGAAUGGCGUAAUGAUGGCCAGGCUGUCUCCACCCGAGACUCAGUGAAAUUGAACUCGCUGUGAAGAUGCAGUGUACCCGCGGCAAGACGGAAAGACCCCGUGAACCUUUACUAUAGCUUGACACUGAACACUGGUCCUUGAUGUGUAGGAUAGGUGGGAGGCUUUGAAGUGUGGACGCCAGUCUGCAUGGAGCCAUCCUUGAAAUACCACCCUUUAAUGGCUGGUGUUCUAACGUGGACCCGUUACCCGGGUUGCGGACAGUGUCUGGUGGGUAGUUUGACUGGGGCGGUCUCCUCCUAAAGAGUAACGGAGGAGCACGAAGGUUAGCUAAUCCUGGUCGGACAUCAGGAGGUUAGUGCAAAGGCAUAAGCUAGCUUGACUGCGAGAGUGACGGCUCGAGCAGGUGCGAAAGCAGGUCUUAGUGAUCCGGUGGUUCUGAAUGGAAGGGCCAUCGCUCAACGGAUAAAAGGUACUCCGGGGAUAACAGGCUGAUACCGCCCAAGAGUUCAUAUCGACGGCGGUGUUUGGCACCUCGAUGUCGGCUCAUCACAUCCUGGGGCUGAAGUAGGUCCCAAGGGUAUGGCUGUUCGCCAUUUAAAGUGGUACGCGAGCUGGGUUUAGAACGUCGUGAGACAGUUCGGUCCCUAUCUGCCGUGGGCGCUGGAGAAUUGAGGGGGGCUGCUCCUAGUACGAGAGGACCGGAGUGGACGCAUCACUGGUGUUCGGGUUGUCAUGCCAAUGGCAUUGCCCGGUAGCUAAAUGCGGAAGAGAUAAGUGCUGAAAGCAUCUAAGCACGAAACUUGCCCCGAGAUGAGUUCUCCCUGAGACUUUAAGUCUCCUGAAGGAACGUUAAAGACGAUGACGUUGAUAGGUCGGGUGUGUAAGUGUAGCGAUACAUUGAGCUAACCGAUACUAAUGAACCGUGAGGCUUAACCUUACAACGCCGAAG